rnacentral:rRNA from 1 species
AUUGAACGCUGGCGGCAGGCCUAACACAUGCAAGUCGAACGGUAACAGGAAGAAGCUUGCUUCUUUGCUGACGAGUGGCGGACGGGUGAGUAAUGUCUGGGAAACUGCCUGAUGGAGGGGGAUAACUACUGGAAACGGUAGCUAAUACCGCAUAACGUCGCAAGACCAAAGAGGGGGACCUUCGGGCCUCUUGCCAUCGGAUGUGCCCAGAUGGGAGUAGCUAGUAGGUGGGGUAACGGCUCACCUAGGCGACGAUCCCUAGCUGGUCUGAGAGGAUGACCAGCCACACUGGAACUGAGACACGGUCCAGACUCCGACGGGAGGCAGCAGUGGGGAAUAUUGCACAAUGGGCGCAAGCCUGAUGCAGCCAUGCCGCGUGUAUGAAGAAGGCCUUCGGGUUGUAAAGUACUUUCAGCGGGGAGGAAGGGAGUAAAGUUAAUACCGUUGCUCAUUGACGUUACCCGCAGAAGAAGCACCGGCUAACUCCGUG